CAAGCAACUUAUCAGGUCACACAGCAAAGUCACUGGCAGUGAAGCAAGGAUGCCCCUUUCUGCCUGACCCUCCUGGCUUCCUGUUUCAACAUCUUUGGAGCUUGUGGAGACGGGGAGAGGCCCGCCAAGGGACCUGGAGACCUGGGGACAGGAGUUUAGGUGCUAGGCUUUGGAUCCCGUCAUCCUGUUUAAUACUCUAUUGAAGUCACUGGAAUUGAGAGAUGAGCAGUCUGUCCCACCUGGUGCUCUCCACACUGCCAACUGUGACCCCACCAGUGUCGCACAGCGAUGGGUCUGCCUGACUGGACUGGAACCGAGAGCCAAGGUAAUCCUGUCCUCUGUGUGAG
ensembl:lncRNA